AUUUGCCCACCUAUAUAAAUACAGAGACGGUGAAUAACCCUAUUUCAACAAACCGUGGUGUAUUCCUUUAAGACUCCCGUGAGAAGCAGAGUUGAAAGAGUGACAAAAAAGAAAACAAACAUGGGAAGGACACUCUUAAGACUCGCCUCAGAAGCAGAGUCAGACCAUACUGACACAGCACCCUCCUCUCCACGCACGGUCUUAGACUGACAUCUGGUGGUGAGUUUAUGCAAAUGCAUUGGAUUUUUUUAAUAUAUUUUUGUAAUAAAUAUAUUAUAUUAGUAAGUAUUGUUUUUAAAUCUUAAUUUAAGGAAAUCUGAGUUAUUCUACCUUAUAAAUGGACAAUGGCACACAUUUACUAGCUUCUCGGCUAGCUAGCUAUGUACUGCACAUUUUUCACUGCUGUUUGUACUGAGUCGUAUCAAAACUACUACUGUUGAUGAAAGGAUCCAUUCCCAUUAUUCGGAACCCUCUCCCAAGCAUUGAAAUGGUGAGUAAAAACAAUUUUACAACAUAGAUUACUAGCUAACUGAGUUAAUAAUUUAGUUUUUCCUAAUGGUUGGUUAGCUGGCUGGUUAGCUUGCUGUGCCACUGCUAGCUAACGUACUGUUUAUCCCUGUAUGUGUGGGGUGGUGACUGUGUAGAUUAUAACAUUAAAGUGGCCAUAUUAUGCUCAUUUUCAGGUUCAUAAUUGGAAUUUGAGAUUGUAUCAGAAUAGGUUGA